rnacentral:rRNA from 1 species
AUUGAACGCUGGCGGCAUGCCUUACACAUGCAAGUCGAACGGCAGCAUGAUCUAGCUUGCUCGAUUGAUGGCGAGUGGCGCACGGGUGAGUAAUACAUCGGAACGUGCCCUGUAGUGGGGGAUAACUAGUCGAAAGAUUAGCUAAUACCGCAUACGACCUGAGGGUGAAAGUGGGGGACCGCAAGGCCUCAUGCUAUAGGAGCGGCCGAUGUCUGAUUAGCUAGUUGGUGAGGUGAAGGCUCACCAAGGCGACGAUCAGUAGCUGGUCUGAGAGGAGGAUCAGCCACACUGGGACUGAGAAACGGCCCAGACUCCUACGGGAGGCAGCAGUGGGGAAUUUUGGACAAUGGGCGAAAGCCUGAUCCAGCAAUGCCGCGUGUGUGAAGAAGGCCUUCGGGUUGUAAAGCACUUUUGUCCGGAAAGAAAUGGCUCUGGUUAAUACCUGGGGUGGAUGACGGUACCGGAAGAAUAAGGACCGGCUAACUACGUG